rnacentral:rRNA from 1 species
GACGAACGCUGGCGGCGUGCUUAACACAUGCAAGUCGAACGGGCCUGCCUGGCUUUGGUUGGGUGGGUGAGUGGCGAACGGGUGAGUAACACGUGAGUAACCUGCCCUCUUCUCUUGGAUAACUGCUUGAAAGGGCGGCUAAUACGGGAUGUUCUGGCUGCCUCGCAUGGGGUGGUUUGGAAAGAUUCGGCCUGGUUUUGGUUGUUUUGGUGGGGGAUGGGCUCGCGGCUUAUCAGCUUGUUGGUGGGGUGAUGGCCUACCAAGGCGGUGACGGGUAGCCGGCCUGAGAGGGUGGACGGUCACACUGGGACUGAGACACGGCCCAGACUCCUGCGGGAGGCAGCAGUGGGGGAUUUUGCACAAUGGGCGCAAGCCUGAUGCAGCGACGCCGCGUGAGGGAUGGAGGCCUUCGGGUUGNGAACCUCUGUCGCCGGUGAUGUAGGCUCUGCUUUGUGGGUGGGGUGACG